CCUACGGGAGGCAGCAGUGAGGAAUAUUGGUCAAUGGGCGGAAGCCUGAACCAGCCAAGUCGCGUGAGGGAUUAAGGCCCUGCGGGUCGUAAACCUCUUUUGCCGGGGAGCAGUGGUCCGGACGCGUCCGGACCGGGAGAGUACCCGGAGAAAAAGCAUCGGCUAACUCCGUGCCAGCAGCCGCGGUAAUACGGAGGAUGCGAGCGUUAUCCGGAUUUAUUGGGUUUAAAGGGUGCGCAGGCGGUCUGUUAAGUCAGCGGUCAAAGCCCGGGGCUCAACCCCGGCCCGCCGUUGAAACUGGCAGU
rnacentral:rRNA from 1 species